ACCCCCAAGAUGGGGGUGUUUGUCCCACAACAGCCGAGGUCGUCUCCCCCGACAGGCACUGUCCCGGUUCCUGAUCCUGCUUGUGUAGGAGUGGUGGGGGAUUUGGAGAAUAGGCGGGUCCCCACAAUCCCCCAUUGAGGCCUGAGCCCUGGAACUGGUGUGGGUGGGGCAGGAAGGUCCCUCCCUAACAGGUUCUCUCUCGCUAUACCCCACUCCUGGUGGGUACAGGAUGAGGGGCAGCAGCUCCUCUUCCUUCAGGCCAUCUACCCCGCAUGUCUGGCUGCACGGGAGAGAGGGGAGGACACGCUGGAGCCGCGCUGUUGCAAGGCGGCCGUGGUGAAGAGGAUCGUGGAGCUCAUCGAGGAGCUUCCCGACGACUCGUCACCCAGCGCCGUCCUCGCCCACUCCCUGGCUGCAGUGGGCAACCUCUGCACCAUGAAACCUGCUCUGGAGCCAGACAUAGAGACCCACCUCUUGCGAGCUGCCCUUCACUCCGUCUUUACCCUGGGCACGGAGAGGGACACCACCGGCAUCCAGGUACCUCCUCCUCCUCCAUCCUCCUCCUCUUCCAGAGUGGUUCUUGGUCCUGCUCCCUUGAUUCGCUGGGGUAGCGGAGAUGGAACAAGCUGCAGGGUUGGAUCCUUCCCUCUAGCAGGGAAGAGAUUACCCCUCUCUGGGGGAUUUCUUUCUUUCUUUCUUUCUUCCUUUCUUUCUUUCUUCCAUAAGCCGUGUUUUGCCCAGAAGCCCAGCUUCCAUCCAUAGCAACUUGGCUGUUUCAUA